GUCAGCUCGUGUCGUGAGAUGUUGGGUUAAGUCCCGCAACGAGCGCAACCCUUGAUCUUAGUUGCCAGCAGGUAAGGCUGGGCACUCUAAGGUGACUGCCGGUGACAAACCGGAGGAAGGUGGGGAUGACGUCAAAUCAUCAUGCCCCUUAUGACCUGGGCUACACACGUACUACAAUGGCCGGUACAACGGGCCGCGAAGCCGCGAGGUGGAGCCAAUCCUAGAAAGCCGGUCUCAGUUCGGAUUGCAGGCUGCAACUCGCCUGCAUGAAGUCGGAAUUGCUAGUAAUCGCGGAUCAGCAUGCCGCGGU
rnacentral:rRNA from 1 species